rnacentral:misc_RNA from 1 species
GUAGGUGAACCUGCGGAAGGAUCAUUAUCGAAAAUAACAAUAUUGUUUUCGCAUGCUGUCCUUUUCGACGCACGAAGAAAACUUUAUUCACCCCAUUGUGAACUGUGAUAACCCCGAGCGAAAGGAUUGUGACUCGGAUUUUCUGCGUGAAUUUGGCACUUUUUGUCCAUCUUCGCCAGUUAAAAUCAAAAGUUUUACCUUUCUGCGCGGCAACCAUUUAUUUUCACUCUGAAUAAGUGUGUAAACACCU